GGGCCGGUAGCAUAAUUGGUAGUGCACCGCAUUCGCAUUGCGGAGGUUGAGAGUUCAAGUCUCUUCCGGUCCA
rnacentral:tRNA from 1 species